UAUAAAAAGCGAAAUAUAUUGCAUUCGGUUUCGGCCCGUAUCUUGGAGGUGUGAGUCCUUCUUUAUAU
rnacentral:tRNA from 1 species